GGAUCAGGUUGUGGUUGGGAGGAAGAGGACUCAGAUGCUCACCAAUGAGGCUGGUCAAGUCACCAGUCAUCUGCAAGGCAUGCAUUACCGAACGAUUAGGCUGUUGGAAGCAGGGAUACAGCCAGUCUACGUAUUUGAUGGUAAACCUCCUGAUUUGAAGAAGCAAGAGCUCGCACAAUGGUACUUUAUUAUUAUGUAGCCUUCUCUUCUCUCGUUUUUUUUUUAAUUGUCUAUGAAUACGUUUAGUUACCUUAAAUGUGAAGGUUUGUCUUUGUUUUGAUCACUUCCUUACUGUGCGAUAUUUUAGUUCUAUUCGAUGAGAAGUUUGAUGUUGUCUCUGUUUUCCAGAAAAACCUAUCUAUGUAGCUAACCAGAUAUGUGUGCGCAUGUGGUACAUGGCUUUGAUACCAUUGCAGGUGACACAACAGCACAAUGAAGACUGCAAAAAACUAUUGAGACUUAUGGGUAUCCCAGUAGUUGAGGUUACUAUUCUGUCUGAGAAGUUCAUUCUUCUUUAUUCGUAAC